rnacentral:snRNA from 1 species
AAGUCCUCGUGUUGCAUCCC